UGGGGAAUAUUGGACAAUGGGCGCAAGCCUGAUCCAGCCAUGCCGCGUGUGUGAAGAAGGCCUUCGGGUUGUAAAGCACUUUUGUCCGGAAAGAAAAGCAUCUGGUUAAUACCCGGGUGUUAUGACGGUACCGGAAGAAUAAGCACCGGCUAACUUCGUG
rnacentral:rRNA from 1 species